rnacentral:lncRNA from 1 species
CUUCAACUUAGCACACUCGCGCUGGGCCAGCCCAGCAGCAUGACUGGGGCCCUUUAUCCCGGCCCCCCAGCCAGCCUGCAGGACGGCUCACAGGCUCCAUUCACGGCUGCCACACGCUGCCUCCCGGCCACGUUCCUUUUUCAGGCUUUUGGAAACCCGCGAACCGUGGGGGAAACAAGCCCGGCUGUUUGCGCCUUGGCCACUGGCAGCCACGCCCCGACCCACCAGGCCUGCUGGUCCCUCCCUGGUCUGGCCCCCCAGGACCUCGAGGCCCCUGGCGCCCAUUCCCCAGGUGAGGAGACCCAGCCCGGCCUGUGUCCUCCAGGGGUGGGGAGGACUCCAGGCAGGCCCAGAGACACCACCCUCCUCAGAGGCUCCCAGGCUCAGGCCUCUGCAAAGGCCCCAAGUUUUCCUCAUUUGUCACAUUCUCUUGGACUGGUCAAUGCAGGCAGGGUCCAGUGCCUGUCCCAGGACGCCCAGCCCAGGGGCGGGGGGGUGAGGUGCCCACCCCAGGGCCAGACCUCCUUUUAGAGAGAGAGACCACAGCUAAGAGGACAGGGGUCCUGAGGUGGCCUGAGGCUCAGAACCUGGCCACUGUGGUGGGCAGAGAUCAGGGAGGCUCCGGAGAGCCUGUGACCCUUUGGAGUGGCUGUUGCUCAUGACACAGGAGCGCCAGCACUGGCCUGGACAUAGGUGCCGUCCACCACGACCCACCUGGCACCGUACACAGGCCCACAGGCACACCCUGCCUGCUCACCAUGCAGACACAGGCAAAAGGUCCUGCACAGACAGGGGCAAGCGUCGUCCAUGCUGGUCUGUUUGGACCCAGCAUCUGGACUUGACCCUACAGAGCAGACCCUUGCGGCUCCCAGCCCCGACUGCAGCUCCUCUGUCCUUCCAUAGGCCAGGCCUGGAAUCCUCUCAUGCCCCCAAGGGCUUCAGUUCCCUCCGCUUUUGGGAGGCAGAUAUCCGAGAAGAACCUGGGGGUCACCAGUUCCACCCUCCAAUCCACAAGGAGGGUGGGUUCCCACACGCAGCCAAUGCCCCUGGCUGGAGUUCAGAUCCAAGGUCAGGAAGCGGGAAGGCUGCGGGGAAGUAAUAAUGGACGGGUGGACGGGGUGUUCCAGGCUGGCGUCCUGCUGCACCCACCCCCCACCCGCAGCCUGCACAGAACCUCUGCAAGGGGCAGGGAGCAAGUUCUGGGACCCCUGGCAAUGCGUCUUUGGAGGUAAGACCACCUUCUUCCCCAAGUCUCAUGGGUUGGGGGUCAGGAGGCCUGGAGAGGGCCUGGCCAGUGUUGGGUGGGCCCAGUGUGAGGGCCCGACAGGGUUAAUGAGCUGCCUCUGCUCCCACACUAUAGUUUGGUCAUUAAAACCCCAUCUCCUGCCUGUGUCCGGCCCUCCCAGGGCCUCCCGGGGCUUUUGUCUCUCUUUCUAAGGCUCUGACAGAAUCAGGCGGGUGGGGGCCCCAGGAAGAGGGGGGGCAGAAGUCUACAAAGCCCCCGCCCCCCCUCAGCCGUGGCCCUGGCACCUCCUCUGCCAGGAUGCCAGCCAGGAGCCACUCCCAGGAUGCCCCCCUCGGGGGCUGGCACGGGCCAGGCUGGGCGGGUGUCCCCUGAGCCAGCCCGUGGUGGAUCCACCCUGGCCGCACCCCGUGGCCACCCCCGCGCUGUUCCCAGCCUGAUGGAGCC